GACGAACGCUGGCGGCGUGCCUAAUACAUGCAAGUUGAGCGAUGAAGAUUGGUGCUUGCACCAAUUUGAAGAGCAGCGAACGGGUGAGUAACGCGUGGGGAAUCUGCCUUUGAGCGGGGGACAACAUUUGGAAACGAAUGCUAAUACCGCAUAAUAACUUUAAACAUAAGUUUUAAGUUUGAAAGAUGCAAUUGCAUCACUCAAAGAUGAUCCCGCGUUGUAUUAGCUAGUUGGUGAGGUAAAGGCUCACCAAGGCGAUGAUACAUAGCCGACCUGAGAGGGUGAUCGGCCACAUUGGGACUGAGACACGGCCCAAACUCCUACGGGAGGCAGCAGUAGGGAAUCUUCGGCAAUGGACGAAAGUCUGACCGAGCAACGCCGCGUGAGUGAAGAAGGUUUUCGGAUCGUAAAACUCUGUUGGUAGAGAAGAACGUUGGUGAGACUGGAAAGCUCAUCAAGUGACGGUAACUACCCAGAAAGGGACGGCUAACUACGUG
rnacentral:rRNA from 1 species